UCCCUUAGUCCUUUGCCCUGACUGAUGUGGGUCUGAGCAGUGGGCUUGCUCGUCGCCGUCCUGUGCAGCAUCAACUGUGGCUAGGGCAACCGCUUCAUGGGGCUUCUUGUCGGCUGGACCCUAAGUCCUCUUUCUAUGGGCUUCUCCACAGAGCUCAAGAACAUGCUCACCCACAGCCGGGGACAGUUGUCCAGGAACAGGAAAUGGAAGCUGCUCGUUUCAUCCUGGGUCUGGGGUCUGUGAAGGCAUCAUUUCUGCAUCCUUGGUGACCUAAGAGUUGUAGAGCCUGCCAGAUUCAUAGGGGAGCCCUCUGUAUCUCUCAGAGGACUUUCACCCCUUACCAUAUCAGCUUUAGGCAUUAUUUAAAAAAAGAAUCAGUCACAGAGAGGGGACAGAUGCAAUAGGACACACCUUACCUGGGCAGGUUAAACAAGAGGACUGCAAGUUCCAAGCCAGCCUGGGAAACUUGGAAAUAGUUCAGAAUGAGUUAAUAGAACAAAGCAAACCACCCAAAACAUGAGAAGAGCUGGAGUUGACCUCCGAGAGAGCACAUGAGUGGCGUGCACAAGACUGUGAUGGAUCCCUUAAUUACAGGUACUGGGGCCUAAGCUCCCACUUUCAGUUCACGUAACUGCAUUUGGGGUAAAAGUACUUCAGUAGUAAUUCGCUGAAUGGUGAUAUAGCUUUAAAAUUGGAUUUUGACCAACUAUUUACUCUCAAUUCCUCAUCUGUAAAAAGCUUAUUUGAAUGGUUACUCAUCUUCAGUAAAGACUGCUUUUCUGUUUCCUGUCAUGCCUACUCUGCCCAGUUAAGCAUUGUUGAGAUUGCAGUUUCUGCUUUCUCUAAGUUUAAGUCUGAGAAUAAGAAAGACCUUUUAAAAACACAGUUGCUGGACAGAGAAUGUGUACUUCUGAGGAACAGCUAAGGGGGGUUAUGUAGGGCCAAUUAGAUCAGUCAGCAGUGCCAAUUUGCAAUGCAGUGUAAACGGUGGACCAUGUGAGGGAGGAGAAAGAACGGUGACCAAACAUAAUAGGCUUUGUUUUGUUGAGUCUUCAGUGCAUGCCCUGCGCUUUGUUUGAACAUUUUAAAAGUUUUACUUGGUACUGAGUUCACCACUGCAGUAAGGGUGCAGAAUACAUUCUUAAAAUGUAAAUGCUCAAACUAAAUAGAAAAAAAAAUACUUUUAAAUGCAGGUAACUUUUGCCUCCUACUUUUCUAUAACAAGAAAAUUCAAGAGUUGUGUUACUUAUGAUUUCCCAGGAAGGCCAUUAAAGAUUGCAUAUCUGUGAGGAAAAAAUUUGGUUGUCAUGGAAAACCUUGAAUACAGACAAGAAUUUUGUGCGAUUGAUCUUCAACGCCCUUCAUAAUUAGCUUAAAAUAGUUUAAUGGCAUUUGUGGGAACAGAUGACUCACUCAGAUCCUUAAUGUCAAAAUUUUCUGUGGCUAAGUCCGCCUAGGGUGAGCUGCAGGAGCCCCUUUUCCAAGAGCUGUUUCCAGGGAGGCUGCUCCAUCCCAGAGUGGGAAGGAAGUGUGCUGCUGUCCCUGUCACUUCCCCAACUCCUCCGGACACUCACCUCUGGCUGUGCGAGAGUUUGAUGGAAGGGAAGGUCUCUGCCUGUCAGCAUCCUCCCUUGCUUCUAAAGAAAGGCUACCAAGCAGCACAUGCUAUUAGCACUAGGUCAGUAUCCUCCAGUUGUCAAAAACAUUUUGUGAAUUAUGGGCCAAAAUUGUAUUAAUGGGUAGUUACAUACAUUAGGAAAUAAAAAUCUGUCGUAUAAUUUAUUAGCUGAAGUUUCUGAAAACGUUCUCCGGCCUGAUUUUUAUAGGUAGACUCUAGGUGAUCUGGAUCGUAGCCUCCAAGUGUGGUAGAUAAGGAGAACACUCCUCCUGAUGCCGCCCUGCGAGCCGAGCAGCUAUUCCCAACUGAGUGCUUCUUGCUUCCGUUUAUUGCUGAGCCAAAGAACUUAUAAAAACCUUUUUGUAGAUAAAUAAACCUUGUUCAAUUG
rnacentral:lncRNA from 1 species